rnacentral:rRNA from 1 species
UACAGAGGGUGCGAGCGUUAAUCGGAAUUACUGGGCGUAAAGCGUGCGUAGACGGUUACGUAAGUCGGAUGUGAAAGCCCCGGGCUCAACCUGGGAAUUGCAUUCGAGACUGCGUAGCUAGGAUGCGGAAGAGGGAAGCGGAAUUUCCGGUGUAGCGGUGAAUGCGUAGAUAUCGGAAGGAACACCAGUGGCGAAAGCGGCUUCCUGGUCCAGCAUCGACGUUCAGGCACGAAAGCGUGGGGAGCAAACAGG